rnacentral:rRNA from 1 species
UGAGGAAUAUUGGUCAAUGGGCGAGAGCCUGAACCAGCCAAGUCGCGUGAGGGAAGACGGUCCUACGGAUUGUAAACCUCUUUUGUCGGGAGCAAUAAAGCGUACGCGUACGCAGAUGCGAGUACCCGAAGAAAAGCAUCGGCUAACUCCGUGCCAGCAGCCGCGGUAAUACGGAGGAUGCGAGCGUUAUCCGGAUUUAUUGGGUUUAAAGGGUGCGCAGGCGGAAAGUGCAAGUCAGCGGUCAAACGACGGGGCUCAACCCCGUCUCGCCGUUGAAACUGUCUUUCUAGAGUGAGCGAGAAGUAUGCGGAAUGCGUGGUGUAGCGGUGAAAUGCAUAGAUAUCACGCAGAACUCCGAUUGCGAAGGCAGCAUACCGGCGCUCAACUGACGCUCAUGCACGAAAGCGUGGGUAUCGAACAGGAUUAGAUACC